rnacentral:rRNA from 1 species
UGCGUAGGCGGUCGCGUAAGUCAGGUGUGAAAUCUCAGGGCUCAACCCUGAAACUGCACUUGAUACUGCGUGGCUCGGGUACUGGAGGGGAGACUGGAGUUUACGGUGUAGCAGUGAAAUGCGUAGAUAUCGUAAGGAAGACCAGUGGCGAAGGCGAGUCUCUGGACAGUUACCGACGCUGAGGCACGAAGGUCAGGGGAGCAAACG